UAAAUGUGCCUAAUUUUGUUUCAAAGGUCUCAUACAUUAGGAUUGCAUGCAAGGUCAAAACACACUUUAAUUUUCUCAUAAUUUACAUUGCAGCAUUACCUGUUUUACUCGUUCAAAGAUCCUUUCACUCUAAACUCCUCCUUUCAGAGCGGCUACUCAGCUCUGAUUGGUCAGAUGUACCAGUCUGUUGUGAUUGGUCUACAGCUGAUAGCACGUACCGGAAAGGAACGCCCACCACCAUAUCCGAGUUAACCAUAGCCGUGAUAAUGUAAUUUUACCUUACCAAUUUGAGCCCAAGUCCAAUAAUGAUGCAUCGGAAGAUAAACCUGAACCACCAUCGCAAGCGUGACGAGAACAGGGCAUUUCUCAGUGAGACUGAAGGAGCUUAAGCAAAGAGAAUUUGCACGCAAUGUCUCAUCUAAGAGCUGGAAGGAUGAAAGGAAGCAAGAGAAAGCACUGAAACGCCUCCAUCAAAUUGCCCUACUCAAGCAGCAAAGGGAUGGUGACAAGGCAAAGAAGUCAAAGUUAACAGCUGCAGCCCGAGACCAGCAACAAGAGAAAAUAAAAGUAAAUACCAGUGACAAACCAGGAUC